GUGCCGGUCUGGCGGUCCGCCUCGCCGUGUUCUCACUGCCAGUCCCGGAGCCAUCCCGCCGGCCUUCCCUCGGUGCUCUUUACCGAGUGUCUUGGGUGACCGGAACGUUUACUUUGAACAAAUUAGAGUGCUCCAAGCAGGCGCGUCCCGCCCGCAUAGCCCAGCAUGGAAUAAUGGAAUAGGACCUCGGUUCUAUUUUGUUGGUUUUCGGAACCCGAGGUAAUGAUUAAUAGGGACAGACGGGGGCAUUCGUAUUGCGACGCUAGAGGUGAAAUUCUUGGACCGUCGCAAGACGAACUACUGCGAAAGCAUUUGCCAUGAAUGUUUUCAUUAAUCAAGAACGAAAGUUAUAGGUUCGAAGGCGAUCAAAUACCGCCCUAGUUCUAACCAUAAACGAUGCCGACCAGCGAUCCGCCGGAGUUCCUCCGAUGACUCGCCGGGGAGCUUCCGGGAAACCAAAGUGUUUGGGUU
rnacentral:rRNA from 1 species